GAGGGGUAGGCCGCCGAACUGCUAAUUCGACAACCCAGACAUAAUAACCUGGCCCCCUCC
rnacentral:tRNA from 1 species